GUCCUCGCAGAGCAGCCCGGAGUGCUCAUCACCCUGUCACGGUGAAGAUCGUGGGUUCGAAUCCCAUCGAGGACG
rnacentral:tRNA from 1 species